rnacentral:tRNA from 1 species
GCCUGGGUGGCUCAGUCGGUUGGGCGUCUGACUUCGGCUCAGGUCACAAUCUCGAGGUUCGUGGAUUCGAGCCCUGCAUCAGGCU